GUGAGCGCCACCUGGUGGACGAACCCGGAGGUCCUCCUGGUACCCAACCUGCCCCCCUUCCCAGCCCCCACCUGCCAAACUCAUCAACUGAGGCUAAUGCGGCGGAUGGAGCGUACACUUGACAACAUUCUUUCACGUUUUUCAAAAGAAGGACAUAGCCUCCCCGACGUCCAUCUCACACCUUUCUGCUUCACGCAAGAAACCCUGAUUUUGUGUAAAUGCCAUGUAGGGCCCAGAGAUGCCACAUGAGCAAGGCCGGCCUCUGGCUCUGAGUCAGGAGAACAGACGUACAAGUGAUGAGUGUUGGGAUUUGCCGACAAAUAGCAGCAAUUCAUCCAAGGCAGGGAUGGAAUUUUCCAGCAGAGUUGUUUACUAGGCAACUUAAGGGAAAAACAAAGCAACAACACGAAGUGCUAGCUUGCUGAGGCAAGCUACUCCGUCCCGGGGGCCCAGGCAGACAC
ensembl:lncRNA